rnacentral:misc_RNA from 1 species
AAGUCGUAACAAGGUAACCGUAGGUGAACCUGCGGUUGGAUCAUUAGAGUAGUUUGAAAGGGAAGAAUUUGCAUAGUUUUUAAUUGUGCAAGCUUCCUCCCUUUUCUAAACAUAUUCCCCUAAUUGUACAUGUUUCCUGUUUUAUUAGACAGUCCGGCAAUUUGUAAUUGUUGGGCUGGCUAAUUGUGACUAACGCUUAUUAUCUUGUGUAAUUUUUUUUUGCAUGCAAUGUUUCCAUUCAUAUUGUUGUUUGGUUUCUUGCAUUUUUUAUUAAUGAAUACAACUUUAGACAAUGGAUCUCUUGGCUCUC